UGCUGCUUACAAUAAUCUGUAUCUAUAAUAAACUUGUAAACUUGGCCCUGCAGUUAAAAUAUUUUGUAAAAAUUUACAAAAUUAAUGAAAAUUGUUAAAAAUUGACUAUAAAGGUCAAUAUCUGCAUUUUGAUCAUGCUGACUUAUUUGUAGAUCUUACUUUGCUGAACACUAUUGCUGUUUACAGUUUAUCUGUAUCUAUAAUAAUAUUUAAGAUAAUAACCAAAAGCUGCAAAAUUUUCUUAAAAUUACCAAUUCAGGGGCAGCAACCCAACAACUGGUUGCUUAAUUGGUCUACAAAUUUAAGAGCAAAUAGAUCUUGACCUGAUUAACAAUUUUACUUGUGACAGAUUUGCUCUAAAUGCUUUGGUUUUAGAGAUAUAAGCCAAAAUCUUUAUUUUACCCCUAUAUUAUAUUUUUAGCCAUGGUGGCCAUCUUGGUUGGUUGGCUGGGUCACCGGGCACAUUUUUAAACUAGAUACACCAAUGAUGAUUGUGGCUAAGUUUGGUUAAAUCUGGUUCAGUAGUUUUAGAGGAGAAGAUUUUUUUUAAAGAUUACUAAAAUUUUAGAAAAAUGGUUAAAAAUUGACUAUAAAGGGCAAUUACUCCUUAAAGGGUCAACUGACAAUUUUGGUCAUGUUUGACUUAUUUGUAGAUCAUAAUUUGCUGAACAUUAUUGCUGUUUACAGUUUAUCUCUAUCUUAUAUUAUAUUCAAGAUAAUAGCCAAAAACUGAAAAAUUUCCUUAAAAUUACUAAUUUGGGGGCAGCAACCCAACAAUGGGUUGUCCAAUUUGUCUGAAAAUUUCAGUGUAGAUAGAUCUUGACCUGAUAACAAUUUUACACCUUGUCAGAUUUGCUCUAAAUGCUUUGGUUUCAGAGAUAUAAGUCAAAAUCUACAUUUUACCCUUAUGUUCUAUUUUUAGCCAUGGUGGCCAUCUUGGUUGGUUGGCCGGGUCAGUGGACACAUUUUUUAAAUUAAAUGCCCCAAUGAUGAUUGUGGCCAAGUUUGGUUAAAUUUUGCCCAGUAGUUUCAGAGGGGAAGAUUUUUGUAAAAGUUUACAGACGACGAACCCCAAGUGAUGAGAAAAGCUCACUUGGCCCUUCAGGCUAGGUGAGCUAAAAAAAGAAAGCUUACAAGAGUGGACACACUGAUACCUUUUUCAGUGUUCAAUAUUGACUAGUGUUGAAGUUAAAAAAGAAUAAUAUUACACUAGGAGUAAUACAUAAUUAAAUUAUCAUUC
rnacentral:lncRNA from 1 species